GUGGGUAAAACUUGAAAGUAAGGAUGCACUAUUAGUAAGCUUUUUGGCAAAACAAUUUGGCUCCUUGCUCAGCCACUCCUUGUCUACCCCAAGCCUGCAUUCCUAAGUUCUCCUCUUUUUCUGCCGGGUAAGUCUUGUUGAGUACUCCCGUACUCAGGGUUUUAUAACCCCUGUUGCAGGUGCUGACUUAUGCUGCUAAUGGAGGUCAUGUCGGUGGGCGCGACAUGAUUUAUCCACCUCUUCUACCUUAGAAGCUUCACCUAAGAUGCUUCCGCUACUCCGCACACCUUUUGGAAAUUUAGUUGUUUAUAUUCCAUCAUAUGUUGUAAAUUGAGUUAUAAAUCUUCCGCACUCCGAUGUAAGUUAUUUUUGUAACAAAUGAUGUAAUGUUGUGGUAACUCCAUGUUGAUCCUGUAUGAGUUAAAAUGUGGAUGAUUCGGGGUCCUCUAAGGGCACCCGACAGACUACCUGGGUUAUAUGACUCUCAUGUGCAGUAAUCAGAGGUCUUAAUGACAAUGAUAGGUGCAUGUGGGCCAUAUAAUUUAGGUGGUUCUGCCACAGAGUGGUAUCAGAGCUCAUACAUGGAUCUUCUGCAACAUUACUUGUGAAAAACUUCAAAAGGAAUUUACAAAUUAAAAGUUUUUGAGGACAACAACUUGUAAAUGCUCCUUAACUUUUCUUAUGCUUGCUAUUCAAGUUCUGUGAAGACUGUCUGCUGACUCAAAUAGAAGGCAUUGAAAGGGACUUCAAUUCUUCUUCAACAAGUCAAGUGAAGAAUCAAACUACUCCAACAAUGCUUUGUCAAGAGUCUUGCAACAUUCCAUCCAGAGCGAUGAAGAUACUGUAUAAAUAAAGCCCUAUAAUCUACUAACAUGAUGAAGAUGGAGCACUCUCGCCGUUGAGAAGACGUAUAGGACGAGCAUAUUGCAUAUCAUGCAUAACAUGACAAUAUAAUGAUACUUAAAAGCCCCUCCUUAUGCUUCAAAAACAGUUAUUAUUCAUUAUAGCUGUUUUAUUGAUGAAUCUCAUCAUGUACCAGCUUUCGUUAACCGAUUGAUAAUCUUUUACUCCAUAAGAUCCUAAUCCUUGAUUCUCUUGUUAUGCAUGUGACCUUCCUUGAUUUCAUCUAACUUGACACAGGCUACCUCCUUGCUGUCAUUUGAUGACAUAUGUGCUGAUUGAAUGACACUAUGAAUGUGUCCUCUUAAGGUACCAUGACUUGUAACUUAGGUAACAAUGUCGAAACCUGGGGUCUCCUAUGGCUCAUGACCAUGAGGAAAUACUGCUGGGCGCUCAUUGUUAUCAAAGUAUAUGAUCAUGAUCCCUUAUAGUCCACAAUUAGGGUGUUUCAUUCUUUGGACACUCCUUAGGGAUUCAAAUUUGUCCUUUUGAGUUCCCUAAACGCCUUGUGGUUGUGAUCGACUUUUGAUCUCAGUUACAUUCUUGGUAUUGUGAGACAUGGGUUAUUGUUGUGGUGCCCUAUAGUGGUGCCAUGUCCCGUGACCCCGGUGCCGCGUCGGAACCUAGAGUCUUUUGUGUGUCUGGAUGACACAAAUUUCUGCUGGGCGCGUGCAGGUAUCGAGGUUAUGGGCAUGAUCCAUUAUAGCCCCACAACUAAGGUGCCCUCGCUCUUUAAGCCCUAUCAUGGGAACCCAUGCCCAUAUCUUUGUGGGAAUUACCUAAACCCUUGACUUGGAUAACCAACAUAGAUUGGUUGAAAGCUAUUGUAACUGUGCUCUAUAGUAGGUACCAUGAUCCGUGAUCACGUUAUAACGUCGAGCCUUGUAGUCUCCUGUGGAACCGCGGCCAUAAGGAAAUACUACCAGGUGCUCGUUAAACAUCGGGAUCUCUGGUCAUGCUCCACUAUAGUCUACAAUUAGUAUGCUUUCAUUCUCCUUGGAAGCUCAUUUGGAGAUUCAUACCUUCUUAUGAAUUCUCUAAAAUUCCUGGUUGAUUACAACUUCCUAUUGCUCUUAGUUGUAUUUCUCAGACCAAUUAUAGUUGUUUUACGAACUUCUCAGAAGUUAAUGUGCUUAACACAUUUCCUUUUCCAUUACAUACCAUAAGGCUUUAAAUCUCGAGGACGAGAUUUCUUUAAGGGGGAAAGGCUGUAACAUCCCUGAUGUUACGAACACUAAAAACGGAUCAUGUUAUCAUAAGCAUUGCAAAGCAUAUUUGUUAAGCACAUUAUUAUGCAUCAACUUAAAACAAGUUUAUUUUGAUUGCUUGUGCUUAGGGAAGUAGAGUGUACUUAUGUUGUGAAGUGAUGCUUGUGUUGGUUGUAUAACCCCUAGGGCGGAAGGUUUCCGAUAAAAUAGGGGGAAAACCCUGAUUUUAAAACCCUGGAUUUGCCCCCUUUUGUGUAAUUUUAAAACCAAGCAAAAUUUGAGGUUGAGUACAAAAGAAAAGUUGUAGAUCUUGUCAAGAUGUACAACUUUGGUGUUUUGAGUUUUUGAAGUUUCAAUACAAAAUUCAAAGUAAUUUUGAAAAUACAGAUUUCCAGAAAGUGUCCCCUUUUCCAAAUUGAACCUCCAAUUCAAAAUCUAUUUGGAAUUUUGAAAAGUGACCAACAUUAAAGUUGUAGAGCUCAAAAAUUUGAACAACUUUCAUGUUGGGAGUUUUUCAAGUUGUUUGGAAAAAUUAAAAGUAAUUUUGGAAAUUCUAAUCUGCCCCAAUUCAAAAAUUGGAAUUUCCCCAAUUUGGGAUUUGAAAUUCAAACUGUUUUGUCAAAUUCGUCAUUUUCCACCCAGAAUUGGCUUUGGUCACCAAAAGAAGAUUUGUAGUUUGUAAAAUUCUGAAUAACUUUUGUUUUGGUGGAAUUUUGUCUUCAGUUCAAAAUUUGGGCGAAUUUCGCAAAACCACAAAAUUGGUUGGAUAGGGCUCGCUACAGUGAUCCGGAUCACGGGCUCCUCUGUCCCGCCGGAAGCAGAGCGGGCAGAGCCGCGCGCGCGCCCCACCGCCACGCAGCUGCUUGCUGGCCACAUCAUCGCGCGACGUGGACGCCCGCGACCCCUUCGACUCGUCCCCUUGAGCGCCCCCGCGGCCGACAUCUUUCUGCGACCGAAAACGCCGAUGGAAUUCAUCUCGCUCCUCCCACCUCAGCCCCGUUGCUCUCUUCCUCUGCUCCGCAGCAUCCUUGAGCAUCGUCUAAGCCAGCUAACACUCUCUUCCCUCGUCGGACUCGGCCAUGAGCCGGUUUCCCGUCACAGAGCCCCGCCAUGGCCGCCAUGGGAGCCUGCGCACGUGGCCAGGAGGCCACAGACCUUCUCCGGCCAAGCCGCUGACACCAGCGCGAGCGCGCGAGCCUCAGGAUGCUCCCCAACGCUUUCCCUCGCUGCCAACAAGCGUCCACCGGCCGGAAAUCAGGUUUUCUCCGACAUCCUCUGCUCUGGAAUCGCGACCAGGGACUUCGCGCGACAAUUUGAAGUUCUCCAGGGGUCUAAUUGCACAGACUGUGACUCAGGUGAAUAGUGCUAUAAGGACUUGUUUGUAGAUGUUUUGUUGAAUCUUUGAAAAUUCAUAUCUGGAGUUUGGUAGCUCCAAUUUUGGUGAACCAAAUUUUGUUGUGCUCCUUGAGAUGUCUAGUUUUUAUUAAAAAUAUGAAACUGACCAUGUUUUGUAGUAAAAUAAUUAGUUAUGAUUUAUGCCUUUUAAUUAUGUUUAAAAGGGAGAAAUUCAUAUCUCAUUCUGUAUAGCUCCUAUUGCCCUGAAAUUUUUAUGGUGUUCUCAUGAUGUUAUGUGAGUGUUGCAGUAAAAAUUUCAUGUUCAGUAGAUGAUAUAUGGUUAAGUUAUUAAUUUAUCUUGUUUAGUGCUUAUUAAAUUAUCUAUAAUUAAACUAAAAAUUAAUAAAUACAAAAUAUGGUUCCUGUACCUUUAUAUGAGGUCUUUAUAUCAUACAGAUACAUAAUUGAGCUAUGUGUUUGUAGAAAAUGUCGAGUUUCUUAAUUAUCUUGUUGUUACAUGCUUCCUUGUGAUGGAAAUUUAUCUUUUUCAUGGAAAUUGUUAUACUUAACCAAAUGGUAUGAAAUUUAUACAGUAGACUUUGGAGAGAAUAUAUGAGCUGCUGUAGUUUUCUCAGAAUUUACUGUGUACUUUUGAUAUAUGGUUAUUGCUUUGUUUAUUUACCUAAAUAAAUUAAUAAAAACAUGAAAGGAAUUUUUAUUUAGGGAUGACCAUGAUAUUUUCUAGUAUUUCUUGGAUGUAUUUCAACUGUUGGUGAGCUGGGUUUUGCCCAGGUUUAAGUUUGGAACAUAAAUGAAAUGUUUUUCUCUGUAAUUCAAUUAUUAGUGAUUUCUAGAUAGUUUCUGGAACAUUAUAAAUUGCUCUAGGUAAAUAAUGUUGGAUAUGAAACUUGUCUAUAACAAAGUUGUAUAUAAUUCAUGUAUCUACCUGGUGUUAAAGUUUGGUGGCAUUUGUCCCUGUAGUUUCUGAGUUAUGCUUGUUUCAAUUUAAGUUUCAGAAAUGGUUCCCCUCUGUCAAAUCCUGGAUCAGUUUCUGUAGUAGUAUAAUUUCAACUUGCUAAACUUAUGAAUCAUGCUUUCAUGAUAAAAGAUGAAUUGUAGUAAUUUUCAUAAGCUUUCCAAAAUGUUAUGGAUCAUGAAUUUUGGUGAUCUAUAACUCUGGUUAUAGAUGUAUGAAGCUUAAUGUCUGAUUCUGUCCAUGGUCUGGACAGGAAUGUUUCUUCAUGCUAUUUGGCCAUCUUAUCUAUUAAAUCAGUUCUCGAAGAUAAUAACAAAGUUGCAGAAAAUUAUCUAAGCUUUUCAGAAAGUCUAAUAUCACCUUUAUUGGAUGCUUGGAUCUCUAAUUAUGGUUGAAUGAAGUUACAUAUAUGCUGCUGUCCUGGUUAUGUGUGCAAAUUUGAUUUAUGUUUGAAUAUAUAUAGAAGAGUUGUGCAGAUUCGAAAAUAGUGAAAAUAUUUGGAUAUGUUCUAUGCAGUCUGUAGAACACAGAAAAAAAAUGCUAGGUUUUAUUUUCUAGCAAUAUAUAUAUGUAUGAAAAUGGUAGCCUUUAUUUAGUAAAUAACACUAUCAUGAAUUUCAAUAAUUUAGUGAUAUGUCCAAAAAUCACCAAAAUUUGUGGGAUGCCUCUGAAUAUUAUUCCCUGGCAUCACACAAAAUUUGGUGGCACUUGGAUGAAGUUUGAAUAAAAUAUUAUUAUACCCUUAAUUAGUAAUAAUUCCAAAAUAAUUAGGUAAUGAUUAGUUAAAUUCUCAAAAUUAGGGUUUGAGUGAUUUUGGGAUUAUGUGAUGACCUGAGGUCAUUGACCUUAAUGACCUUUGGCAUUUAAUUAUUGUUUGGCCUUAAUGCUUAAUUACUGUCAUUAGUAAUUAAUUAAGAAUUAAUUAAGGUAAAUAAGAUUAAUAAUUAGUUAAUUCAGGUUAAUUAUGAAUUAAAAGAGAUUUUAUUUUACAGAUGCAACCUCUUGGGUAAAAACAUUAAGAUGUUAAACAACUUUAUUUAGUGAUAAUUCUGUAUUGCAUCAAGAAGGCGAGUUGUACUCGAUUUGGUCCUUCUUACAUAUUUGUCAUACGCAUAUCAUGAGCAUUCAUCAUUUUGCGUAUAGUGUCCGUGACCGAAGGAGCGCCCGUUGAACCGAACCCCGACGUCGGUGCUCCGUUCGAAGAAGUCGGAUCCGAGACUUGGGAAGUCUCCGAGGGUCCCUCUCUACCCUGCAACCAAGGCAAGCCCCGGAUGCAUUAACCCCUCCUUGGAUGUUUUAAAUCUUUUAUCACUUAUGAAUUGAAAAUGCUGCAUUAGGUAGUUGAGAAUUGGGUUAACCUACUUGCUGCAUUUACUACCUUGAUAUCUGUUAUCCUGUCCUUGACACCUGUUUUAUUUUAAAACUGCGUAGCGAUGCUUAGCCCUGCUACUAGAUAGGUUUUCAAACAAGAAAGUUUGAAGGGUUGUUGUGGGAUACACUUAUGAUCAAUGAUGUUUCAAUUUGAGACCGGUCGGUGGACUUGCUCUAAGAAUGGAGUCUUAAAGUAGUGUCUCCGACUGUGUUGAUUAAGGACCGUUCCGUUGAUGGCCUGCUGGGUUGAGAAUUUAUAGUACUAGCCACUUGCCCUCGGUAAGCCCGAUCUUGUAAUCCCUCGACGCGAACAGCUACUCGCGCACUGGGAGUGGAAAGAUGGCGAGAGUAACGUGUGCCCACCUUACGGAUCUGAGAUGACCGGAAAACAUCUAGAUCGGCUGUAGGAUGGUGGAGUACUGUGCUCUCGGGUGCCGCGAACCUGGUCAAAUUUGGGGAGAGCUUGAUUCGGGUUGAUAUAUGCAAGAUUUGGUUCUACAUAUGUCGGGUGGUUAGGAACUCCAGCUGGAUUGCUAAGCGAUUCGAAUCGUCGUUGCUCCCCGAUUGGGAGACUCAAUUCCUUCGACCCUCAUCGUAGUUAAAUAUGCAACUAAGUGAUAAAAUGAGAAAGGGGGAAAAUGUCUUAUGAGGUUCGGAUCCCAAUUCCCGGACUCAGAGUGACAUGAAGCUUUGGCCGUUGGAUAGAUAAUACUUUGAUUAAGGACGAGGAACUUACAGACUUGUCUGUGAGAAGCAACUAGAUAGACUGUCCUCGAACUCCUCGACCUCUUAAGGAGAGGAAUUCGUGGGUAAAACUUGAAAGUAAGGAUGCACUAUUAGUAAGCUUUUUGGCAAAACAAUUUGGCUCCUUGCUCAGCCACUCCUUGUCUACCCCAAGCCUGCAUUCCUAAGUUCUCCUCUUUUUCUGCCGGGUAAGUCUUGUUGAGUACUCCCGUACUCAGGGUUUUAUAACCCCUGUUGCAGGUGCUGACUUAUGCUGCUAAUGGAGGUCAUGUCGGUGGGCGCGACAUGAUUUAUCCACCUCUUCUACCUUAGAAGCUUCACCUAAGAUGCUUCCGCUACUCCGCACACCUUUUGGAAAUUUAGUUGUUUAUAUUCCAUCAUAUGUUGUAAAUUGAGUUAUAAAUCUUCCGCACUCCGAUGUAAGUUAUUUUUGUAACAAAUGAUGU
rnacentral:lncRNA from 1 species